UUCUUUAGGAAUUUCUCAUAACUAUUUAUUGUAUCCAUAAGGAUUGCAAGGUCUCUUGGAUCAGGUUGUUACCAGGCUGGAGUGCAUUGGUACCGUCACGGCUCACUGCAGCCUCCACGUCCUGGGCUCAAGGGAUCCUCCUAUCUCAGCCUCCCAAGUAGCUGGGUCUACAGGUAUACUCUACCACCCCAGCUUAAUCAUUUUUAAUAUUGCGUUUUCUUGGGGGUAAGGGAAAUAAGGAGUUAAAUGUAAAACCGUUUUACUUAUAAAAGGCUAAGAAUAUUUGGUAAGAACUUGGAAUAAUCAAGGAAGCAAAACAAAGUAGAUUUUAUAAUUUUGCUGGAUAGUUUUUUUUGUUUUUUGUUUUUUUUUUCUUUUUUGGAGAUGGAGUCUCACUCUGUCACCCAGGCUGGAGUACAGUGGUGUGAUCUUGGCUUACUGCAGCCUACACCUCCUGGGUUCAAGCAAUUCUCCUGCCUCAGCCUCCCAAGUAGCUGGGAUUGCAGGUGUGCACCACCACACCUGGCUAAUUUUUUAUCUUUUUAGUAGAGAUGGGGUUUCGCCACGUUGGCCAGGCUGGUCUUGAACUCCUGACCUCAGGUGAUCCACCCUCCUCAGCCUCCCAAAUUGCUGGGAUUACAGGCAUGAGCCACUGCG
rnacentral:antisense_RNA from 1 species